UUUUUGCUUAGCCAGUCUGAGUGGGUUCAUCAGCCACAAAAGCAGCUUAGGACUGAUGUUUUAACCCUGGUUUAAGUAGUUCUUACCUUAUUCCCAUAAAUUUAUUCAGGCUCAAUAGUUAAAAUGAUGCUAUAUCUGGUUAAUUUUUCAAAAGAGCCCUCUGAAACAUACCGAGACUAGCCAUGAGCAUUAGUCCUUCCUGACAUUUUAAUAUUAGAAUCAUUGGAUAAGAAUAAUUUUAUGAUGAUGGCAUUUUCAUUUCAUUAAGCAAUGGCAGGGCAGGAAUUUUCAAGGAAACUAAAGCCCAAAUUGGACAAGAGCCUUGCCCAGUGGUGGAAUUAGAACCUUGUUUCUGUCAAUACUCAAGCCAAGGCUCUUUGUCAAUGAAAAUUUUUUUUUUUUAAGUAAUCUCUAUGCCCAUGAUGGGGAUCAAACUUAUGACCCCGAGAUCAAGAGUUGCAUGCUCCAUGGAUUGAGCCAGCUAUGUGCCUCUGUCAAUGAAUUUUUUAGGGCCAAGAUGGUAAUUUCCUUUCCUUAAAUUUCAAGUGAGAUCAUUCAACAAUAACUAUUGACUGCCCAUCUAAUUGGUCAGGACUCUUAGUUGCAAAUUAAAAAAAACAAUAAAAGGCUCUAGGAAUAUAUUUGUUUCAGGUAUGGUUGUUUCCAGGCUCAAAAUCACUGAGUAUUCUCUCUCUAUCCCUAGGAAAGACUUUCCACAAGGGGGGCACCUGUAGACUCACAUCCUAUCUGCUAAGCUACCUCAGCAGUACAUUUUGGAUUAUCCUUGGACUUUCGUUAUGUGAACCAAAAAAUCCUCCUUUCUAUUCCCUUAAGCCAAUUUGAAUGUAGUUUCUUCACUUGCAACAAGUGUUUGGACUAAAAUUGUACUUAUCAAAUGAUUCUCCACAAACAAGGAUAAUGGUAACAAUUAGAGUCUCUUCAAAACUUGGAAUUUAAGAGCAGUUAGUAUAGGGGCACCUGGGUGGCUCAGUUGGCUAAGUGUCUGACUCUUGAUUUCAGCUCAGAUCAUGAUCUCAGGGUUGUGAGACUGAGUGUCCCUGAUGAAAAGGAACUUACUCUUGAUAUAUAUAUGCUAUGUUGGUUUCUAUUAUCUACUUUUUUUUAAGAUUUUAUUUAUUUGAGGGAUGCCCAGGUGGCUCAGUGGUUGAGCAUCUACCUUCAGCUCAGGUCGUGAUCCCGACGGUCCUAGGGUCGAGUCCCGCAUCAGGCUCACUGCAGGAAGCCUGCUUCUCCCUCUGCCUACAUCUCAGCACUUCUCUUUGUGAUUCUUAUGAAUAAAUAAAAUCUUAAAAAAAAAAAAAAAAGAUUUGAGAGAAAGGGAGAAAGAUCGCACACAAGCAGGGGGAGGGACAGAGGAAGAGGGAGAACCUCCCAAGCAGACUGCACUAAGCCCAGAGCCCAACACCAUGCUUAAUCCCAUAACCUAAGCCAACACCAAAAAUCAGAUGCUCAACUUACUGAGCCACCUGAGUGCCCCGUAUUUUUUACCCUUUCUCUUUUCUACUUCAUACUUCUUAGUCAGAAUUUCUUAUUUGUAACCUCAAGCUUAUUCUAGGUUCUAUUAGCACCACAGAUUGGAUUAUCCUAAAUUGAUUUGACCCUGAAGCCCUUUUCUUAGAAACAACAAAAAGU
rnacentral:lncRNA from 1 species